UACAGGGGGUGCAAACGUUGCUCGGAAUUAUUGGGCGUAAAGCGCGCGUAGGCGGCUACUUAAGUCGGAUGUGAAAGCCCCUGGCUCAACUGGGGAAGUGCACCCGAAACUGAGUGGCUUGAGUACAAAAGAGGGUCGCGGAAUUCCCGGUGUAGAGGUGAAAUUCGUAGAUAUCGGGAGGAACACCAGUGGCGAAGGCGACUACCUGGCCUGUUCUUGACGCUGAGGCGCGAAAGCUAGGGGAGCAAACGGG
rnacentral:rRNA from 1 species